rnacentral:rRNA from 1 species
GAUGAACGCUGGCGGCGUGCCUAAUACAUGCAAGUCGAGCGAACGGACGAGAAGCUUGCUUCUCUGAUGUUAGCGGCGGACGGGUGAGUAACACGUGGAUAACCUACCUAUAAGACUGGGAUAACUUCGGGAAACCGGAGCUAAUACCGGAUAAUAUUUUGAACCGCAUGGUUCAAAAGUGAAAGACGGCCUUGCUGUCACUUAUAGAUGGAUCCGCGCUGCAUUAGCUAGUUGGUAAGGUAACGGCUUACCAAGGCAACGAUGCAUAGCCGACCUGAGAGGGUGAUCGGCCACACUGGAACUGAGACACGGUCCAGACUCCUACGGGAGGCAGCAGUAGGGAAUCUUCCGCAAUGGGCGAAAGCCUGACGGAGCAACGCCGCGUGAGUGAUGAAGGUCUUCGGAUCGUAAAACUCUGAUUAGGGAAGAACAUAUGUGUAAGUAACUGUGCACAUCUUGACGGUACCUAAUCAGAAAGCCACGGCUAACUACGUG